rnacentral:rRNA from 1 species
AUUGAACGCUGGCGGCAUGCUUUACACAUGCAAGUCGAACGGUAACAGGGAGCUUGCUCCGCUGACGAGUGGCGAACGGGUGAGUAAUGCGUCGGAACGUGCCGAGUCGUGGGGGAUAACGCAUCGAAAGGUGUGCUAAUACCGCAUACGUACUGAGGUAGAAAGUGGGGGACCUUCGGGCCUCACGCUAUUCGAGCGGCCCACGUCUGUUUAGCUAGUUGGUGAGGUAAAGGCGCACCAAGGCGACGAUCAGUAGCGGGUCUGAGAGGAUGAUCCGCCAAACUGGGACUGAGACACGGCCCAGACUCCUACGGGAGGGAGCAGUGGGGAAUUUUGGACAAUGGGCGCAAGCCUGAUCCAGCCAUGCCGCGUGUCUGAAGAAGGCCUUCGGGUUGUAAAGGACUUUUGUCCGGGAGCAAAUGCUGGUGGCUAACAUCCACCGGAGCUGAGAGUACCGGAAGAAUAAGCACCGGCUAACUACGUGCCAGCAGCCGCCGUAACAC